rnacentral:rRNA from 1 species
UACGGGGGGUGCGAGCGUUAAUCGGAAUAACUGGGCGUAAAGGGCACGUAGGCGGACUUUUAAGUGAGGUGUGAAAUCCCCGGGCUUAACCUGGGAAUUGCAUUUCAUACUGGGAGUCUAGAGUACGCUAGGGGGGUGUAGAAUUCCACGUGUAGCGGUGAAAUGCGUAGAGAUGUGGAGGAAUACCGAAGGCGAAGGCGGCCCCCUGGGAAUGUACUGACGCUCAUGUGCGAAAGCGUGGGGAGCAAACAGG